rnacentral:tRNA from 1 species
ACGGCAGUAGUUCAAUGGUAGAGCACCGGUCUCCAAAACCGGGUGUUGUAGGUUCGAGUCCUACCUGCCGUGCCA